UUAAUUAAAAAGAUUUAAGUAGUUUUUGUUCGGGUUUUUUAGUACAGAAAAACCUGACUCAACACAACUUAUCAGUUUAAUUUUUCUUCUGUUAAUCGCCAUAAUAAUAAUUUUAUUUCUGGCUUUUGUCUCACUACAGGUGAGUAGGUAUUUAUGUUACCCACAAAACGAGGAAUUUUGAAAUUAACUACUGAAAGCAGAAAUACAUAAUAAACCAAUAACUAACAAUUUUUGCAAAUGGUUGAUGUGAACUUUCCAAAUGGCCCAAGAUCAUGAUGGUUGCAAAUGGAACGAAGGUGCCAUAUAACGUCUCCUUUCUGUAUGUAUGCAAUGAAGGUUGGUUCGAGUUGUAAUCUAGACAAAAAUUCUCUAAGACGGACAGUUAUUGACACAUGCUAUAUGAACUUGCAUGAGACACAAUUCAAGGCUGUUCUAAAAAAUAUUUACAGAGUAUUGCUGGAAAGAAUACCAUAAAGUUGGGAAGACCUAACGAGAAGGCUAACAUAGUUAAUAUUUUGUGAAGGCUUUGGAGAACAUUAAGAGAAAAUUAAUAAUGGUUUGGAAAUAAAAUGUUUCAAAACGGAAUACGAGAGUAUGGCGAUAAAGUUUGGUAUCCAAGUUGUAUCGUAUCUUUAAAAAUAUGAUUAUCACUUUAUAAAAUUACAAUCUCUAUAUGUCUACAAUUCAUGAGUAAAAUUA